rnacentral:rRNA from 1 species
CCUACGGGUGGCAGCAGUGAGGAAUAUUGGGCAAUGGACGAGAGUCUGAACCAGCCAAGUAGCGUGAAGGAUGACUGCCCUAUGGGUUUUAAACUUCUUUUAUAUGGGAAUAAAACGUUCCACUUGUUGGAUUUUGUAUGUACCAUAUGAACAAGGAUCGGCUAACUCUGUUCCAGCAGCCGCGGUAAUACGGCGGAUCCGAGCGUUAUCCGGAUUGAUUGGGUGUAAAGGGAGCGUAGGUGGAUUGUUAAGUCAGUUGUGAAAGUUUGCGGCUCAACCGUAAAAUUGCAGUUGAAACUGGCAGUCUUGAGUACAGUAGAGGUGAGCGGAAUUCGUGGUGUAGCGGUGAAAUGCUUAGAUAGCACGAAGAACUCCGAUUGCGAAGGCAGUUCACUGGACUGCAACUGACACUGAGGCUCGAAAGUGUGGGUAUCAAACAGGAUUAGAUACCCUUGUAGUC